rnacentral:tRNA from 12 species
CUUAGGUUAAAAGCGACUGGUUCCAAUACCGAUGGUCACAGUUUCGACUCCCAG